ACAGCAAAGCAUCAUGGGCUAAACGGAAGAAACUUUAUCCUCAAAGUAAUUGCAUGUGAAACGAUCAACGGCCGCCACUUCCCCGUCUACUUUGCUUCCGCCUCUCGCCGAGCUGGAGUUCAGCAGUCGACGGGAGAGCGAUCGGGGAUCGAUUCAGCGUGUCUACACUACAUGCAAUAAAUUGAUCCCCAAUAGAUCGAUCGCUACCCGCCGAUCUGGCGGGUAGUGUAGACAUACCCCAAGUCACAUGAGUUCUGCUGUUGACUCAACUGGGAUUACAUACAUUAGUAAAGUGAAAAAGGUCUCAAGACUGGAAGCGUGGAAAGGACAGACAGAUGAGUAGGCAUCUCUCUAGAAGACUAUAGAAAGACAUGGGAACUAAAAGGAGCAAGUCUAUUGAAAUUAAAACAAAAAAAACAAAAACGAGGGCAAAAUGGAACUGGAGAGAAACAGGAUGUGAAUGAAGAUAACAGGGAUGAUAUAGUCCAGUCUCCAGGGGAAAAGUUGCCUGAGCACAACAUUUGAAUCAUUAAAUGUUUAGAAAAUAAAGAAUUAGAAAGUGCAAAAGAGAGAAAUGAAACAAUCAAGGCAGAAUGUGAUCACAGUAUGAAUAAGAAAUUCAGCAGACUGAGUCAAAGGAGGAAUUCUAGCAAUAUUCUGGAAGUGGUGAAAGAGGUUUAUAGACAAGGGAGACAUAGGAGGUCAGAGGGAGUCUGAAGUCAAAGUUGACAUGAUUUUUGGCCUUGGAAGUAAAGUUUAGUUUGAAAGUAAAGAACAGUCAAGAGA